AUUGAACGCUGGCGGCAUGCCUUACUCAUGCAAGUCGAACGGCAGCACGGGAGCAAUCCUGGUGGCGAGUGGCGAACGGGUGAGUAAAGUAUCGGAACGUGCCCAGUCGUGGGGGAUAACGUAGCGAAAGCUACGCUAAUACCGCAUACGAUCUAUGGAUGAAAGCGGGGGAUCGCAAGACCUCGCGCGAUUGGAGCGGCCGAUAUCAGAUUAGGUAGUUGGUGGGGUAAAGGCCCACCAAGCCGACGAUCUGUAGCUGGUCUGAGAGGACGACCAGCCACACUGGGACUGAGACACGGCCCAGACUCCUACGGGAGGCAGCAGUGGGGAAUUUUGGACAAUGGGCGCAAGCCUGAUCCAGCAAUGCCGCGUGCAGGAUGAAGGCCUUCGGGUUGUAAACUGCUUUUGUACGGAGCGAA
rnacentral:rRNA from 1 species